GAUAUCACUUGGUCGUAAUUUGUAGUAUCGAGAAUGAAGACAAGUCAAACAUGGUUGCAUCCUUAGAUCAAUUUCGUCGCCAGUUUCCCCCGGUCGCACCGAUGAAAUGUAUUCAGCAUUACUUAAAAGAGCAGCUGAUUGUUUCAAAUUCGAAAAUGGUGGGGAAUGUUCAGUGGGCACCAGCAGCCACUGUUGACAUGGAAAAGUGAGUGAUGUAAAAUGCAUAUGUGCUGCAGAGUAUAGUGCACAUUGUUAAUUUUGUAUAGAUUGUAUAGUACUAAAAUUUAAAUUUACACACUCCAGGGUUUUUUUUAUUUUUAUGUUUUGUGUACGUAAUUCUUACAGUAUAAUUAGCCCAAAUUUAACUAAUUAUGGAG